GGCAGGGAAGGAGGGAGGGAAACAGGGAGCGGGGGGGAGGGAGCUCGCGGGCGCGAGUGGCCGCCGCCCGCUCCGCCGCCGCUGCCGCGCCGAGAGUUGGAAGAAUCCAGGAAUUUCAAGUUUUGAGUAGCGGGCAUCUUACAAGAUUACCACACCUAAACUGAAAAGGCAGAUGCAGCUCUGAGUACCAGAUUGGUGUGUGCACUGCAUAUACAUGAAAACCCACGUUUUUGUCAUCACGUAGACUUGCUCUGGCGUAU
rnacentral:lncRNA from 13 species